rnacentral:misc_RNA from 1 species
AAAAAAAGACAAAAAAAAAAAAAACAACUAAUCAUUGUGGACGUUUGGAGUCGUGAUUUGUCACCAUUUUUUCUUGGUCAGAGACCAUGUGAAGCAUCAGCAACAUGCUUCACUAUAUCAUCACGACGGGCCAACACCAAAAGUUAAAUAAGAACUAAUAAUUAAAAACAAAAAGAAAACCCCACAUUACAUGAUCAUCACACGGUAUACACAAUCACAAAGCAAG